AAAAUUGCUGUUAAAAAACGGAGAAUUUUGGACAGUAAUUUACCGUUUUUCAUAAACACAGUUGAAUACUGUAAAUGAAAAUGAAUUUGACGUGCAAACUAAUAACAGCAAGCUGCUGUUCAGUCUUACGGAAUAAUACAGUAUUUUUUUUGUCUGGUCAGGCACGUCAGACAUGUGACUAACUCAUCUGCAACGAGGCACAUUAACAGUCAAAUAGAUUUAAUUACGCUGUUUUUCGGCACUUUAUUAUUUGAGAAGGAAGCGGAAUUAAAAGAGGAUCGAAUUUCACUCUGACUGUGACCCUGCCAGGACUGAGACAGACGCGAAUUCGCGUGUUUUUUACUCUUCGCCUGUACAGUAUAUCAAGGUAAGCACAAACUGAACAAAGUCUAUGUUUCUAAGUGAAAUAACCGCCAAAUUGUUAUAUAUAUGCUUAUUUUUGAACCAUUACUAAAAACGAUGUAUUAGAAUUUUACAUAUUUUGGGCUGCCCUUACGAAAGUUAAGCAUGGUUUUAUUGUGGUAAAAGUAUAGCAUGUUUUGGUGUAUUGAAUACUAUCAGCAAAACCAUGGUUUUACUACACGGUUUAAGUAUGUUUUUUUGUGGUUAUGGUUUUACUAUAGUAACCAUGUUUUUUGGUUUUAACAGUAGUAAAACCAUGGUUCAUUUUCGUAAGGGAUGAUCAUUAAACGAAUUAACAACAGCUACAUUAGUUAGCAUCUUUAUUUGUAUUUAACUUAUGUUAAUUUGCAAUCCAAUCAAAUGUCUGACUGACUUGUAAUUAUAUAUUGAUAUUUUUUAAAAUCUACAUGACGGAUUGGGCUCUGUUUCACCAUUUGUUUAAGGGUUGAUUGAAAUGUGCAGGUUUAUUUUCUUAAGGGAUGAUCAUUAAAUGAAUUAACAACAGCUACAUUAGUUAGUAUCUUUAUUUGUAUUUAACUUAUGUUAAUUUGCAAACUAAUCAAAUGUCUGACUGACUUGUGAUUAUAUAUCCGAGGGUGAAGAUGCGGAGCUGACUCUCAUCCGGCUGCUGAUGGCCUACUUUGAUGAGAAAACAGAGGGACUGAUACUCCGUGCUGAUAUGUCUGCCACUGCGGCAGAUGUUGAGCAAACCCUGACCCUCCCUGCUAGUCCAAGGCUGUGUCACAGUAAGUUGCUGGUGAUGAAAUCACACUUGGAGGUUGGAUGAUCAGCAUCGAAAACAACAUAAUCUGUGAAGGCAUCCAGCAAAGCUUCAUCAGAGGGCUGGCUGCAGUUUUCGCCACCUACUAUGUUUUCAACUUGCAAUACCAAGAGGAAGCUGCAAGGACACUGGAGUUUGUCCAAAGACGCUUAAUUGGUGUGAACCCUGAGAGGGGAACUAAAGCCAGCCAGGUGAAGUUGUCCAAGAAAACAGGAAAGCUGGUCACGAAAAAGGCAGCAACUGUGAAUCCCCAUGUGGCCACCCUGAUCAAAAACCUCAUGGACUUUGAGUGGGGUUUUAUUUAAUUUUUUUAUAGUUAUUUUAUUUGAAGGUGAUGACACAGCAUUGUGUUCAGCAACCAGAACUGUACUGUGUUCAGCAACCAGAUGUUUAAGAAAAGUCACAGCAUUGUGUUCAGCAACCAGAUGUUCCUGUGCAGUCACAGUGUAUUUUGAAAUGCUGUGAUAUUUAUGUGACAUGUUUUAUUCAGCCCAGUCUCAUUGUUGAGGCAGAAGAAGAAUGCACUGAAUUUUAUUAUAUUUAAUAAAAAGAGUGUUUUAUUGUCAUCCUUGGUUUGAGACAUUUUUUGAAAGCAAUUUUAAGUGUUUAUUUUAAAAUUCUAGCAGUGUUACAAUGUAAAGAUCACAUUCUACAGUAUAGUUUAUAUUACAAAACAGUUUAUUAAAAUUACAGCAGGAACACUAAAAUAACAGUAUAAUGCAACCAAACAUCUGACAGUAGUAUACUGUGCAGCUCUCUAUUUUUACAGCACAGUCCCGUAAUAUUUCUACAGUAAAAAACUGUUGUUGUAAAUAACAGUAGGUAAUCUGUAAAAUUACAACUAUAUGCUGGCAAAUCUAGCUGCCAGUAUAUUACUGUAAUUUAACAGUGAAAUUUUUUACAGUGCACUG